UCUAAGGAAUUUGAAAAGAAUAUUAAGCAAUAGAGGAAACUCCACAUCCUGGAUAAACUACGUGUUUUGAAGCUUGCACAAGUCCUGAAUUUGGUCCAGGCUUUUUCAGUCAACACCUAUUGUAUUUCCCAAAACUGAGAUGGCUGAAGAAGAAGAAGAAGAAGAAAAGAAAACACCUUACAAGAAGAAAGAACCAAUUUAUGAAAGAUAGAAAAGGCCUUUAUCAUAAGACUUUCAGCAAAUCCCUGGAGUAGAAUUAAUUCGUCAUAAAGUAGGCCAAAGUAUAAAGUUUUGCCAGCCAUUGGAGAAGCCCCUCCAGGCGACCUGUCCCAACCAGAGCAUUCCCUCCC